rnacentral:rRNA from 1 species
UGCAGUCGAACGGUGAUAGCAAUAUCAUAGUGGCGCACGGGUGCGUAACACCUAUGCAACCUACCUUAUACUGAGGAUAGCCUCUCGAAAGGGAGGUUAAUACCUCAUAACACAUUGAACUGGCAUCAGUUUAUUGUUAAAGAUUUAUUGGUAUAAGAUGGGCAUGCGUCCAAUUAGUUAGUUGGCGAGGUAACGGCUCACCAAGACGAUGAUUGGUAGGGGAACUGAGAGGUUAAUCCCCCACACUGGCACUGAGAUACGGGCCAGACUCCUACGGGAGGCAGCAGUAGGGAAUAUUGGGCAAUGGAGGCAACUCUGACCCAGCCAUGCCGCGUGCAGGAAGAAGGCGUUAUGCGUUGUAAACUGCUUUUAUAUAGGAAGAAAUAGACCUUGCGAGGUAAGUCGACGGUACUAUAUGAAUAAGCACCGGCUAACUCCGUGCCAGCAGCCGCGGUAAUACGGAGGGUGCAAGCGUUGUCCGGAUUUAUUGGGUUUAAAGGGUGCGUAGGCGGUUUAUUAAGUCAGUGGUGAAAGACGGUCGCUCAACGAUUGCAGUGCCAUUGAUACUGGUAGACUUGAGUGGGAUUGAGGUAGCUGGAAUGGAUAGUGUAGCGGUGAAAUGCAUAGAUAUUAUCCAGAACACCAAUUGCGUAGGCAAGUUACUAAGUCUCAACUGACGCUGAG